CGGGACUUAGCUCAGACUGGCAGAGCGGCCGGCUGUAGACCGGCAGGCCCCGGGUUCAAAUCCCGGAGUCCCGA
rnacentral:tRNA from 1 species